rnacentral:lncRNA from 1 species
AUUUCUUAUAGCAAGGUUCUAAGAAGAGAGGGGAGGAAAGGCCUGUGAUGGGGAACAGUGUGUUUUAGGAUGACUUAUACUGAGCUCUACCUUUCCUCAUAAACUUGCUCCUCCUCCUGCAUUUUAUCAUGAUUAACACCACCACUCCCUUAAGGAACCAAGAUUAGAAUCAACUUUAUCAGUGUUGAAGUGACAGGGGCUUGUCCUGGCCAAGACCUUCCCAUUCUGCCUUUACAGCAUUUUUCAUUUUGAUUCCUCUUUUCAAUCUUGUGAUUACCACCCCAGUAGAAACCUGAUAUCAAGAACAAUGAUCUUGUCUCCAAUAUAUUGCUUUCAGAUUAAUCAAUAUUUGCUAAACAGUUUGGAGACAAUUAGUGUCCCAUGUCAUGUUAAUGCUUGUCCUGUGGGGGAAACAAG